rnacentral:rRNA from 1 species
UUUAAAUGGCCGCAGUAUUUUAACUGUGCUAAGGUAGCAUAAUCAUUAGUUUUUUAAUUGAAAGCUGGAAUGAAGGGUUGGAUGAAAAAUUGACUGUCUCUGAUUAAUUUUAUUAGAAUUUUAUUUUUAAGUUAAAAAGCUUAAAUAAUUUUAAAAGACGAGAAGACCCUAUAGAGUUUAAUAUAUUUAAUUUAUUAAUUUUUAGUAUUUAUUUUUUAUAAUUAUUAUGUAUUUAAUUGGGGUGAUUAAAAAAUUUAAUAAACUUUUUUUUUAAUUUAUAUUGAUUAAUAAUUAGAUGAUCCAAAAAUUUUGAUUAUAAGAUAAAUUACCUUAGGGAUAACAGCGUAAUUUUAUUAGAGAGUUCUAAUCGAAAGUAAAGUUUGCGACCUCGAUGUUGGAUUAAAAUUUAUAUUUGGUGUAGAAGCUAGAUAAUUUAAGUCUGUUCGACUUUUAAAAUUUUAC